AGAGUUUGAUCAUGGCUCAGGAUGAACGCUGGCGGUAUGCCUUACACAUGCAAGUCGUACGAGAGUUUUUAACUCUAGUGGCGGACGGGUGAGUAACACGUAAGAAUUUGCCUUUAGGAGGGGGAUAACAACUGGAAACGGUUGCUAAUACCCCAUAUGCUUUCGAGUGAAAUGGAUUUCCGCCUAAAGAGAAGCUUGCGGCUGAUUAGCUUGUUGGUGAGGUAAUGGCUCACCAAGGCGACGAUCAGUAUCUGGUUUGAGAGGACGAUCAGACACACUGGAACUGAGACACGGUCCAGACUCCUACGGGAGGCAGCAGUGGGGAAUUUUCCGCAAUGGGCGAAAGCCUGACGGAGCAAUACCGCGUGAGGGAUGACGGCCUAUGGGUUGUAAACCUCUUUUUUCAGGGAGGAAUCAAUGACGUGUACCUGAAGAAUAAGCAUCGGCUAACUCCGUGCCAGCAGCCGCGGUAAGACGGAGGAUGCAAGUGUUAUCCGGAAUCACUGGGCGUAAAGCGUCUGUAGGUGGUUUAAUAAGUCAACUGUUAAAUCUUGAGGCUCAACCUCAAAAUCGCAGUCGAAACUAUUAGACUAGAGUAUAGUAGGGGUAAAGGGAAUUUCCAGUGGAGCGGUGAAAUGCGUAGAUAUUGGAAGGAACACCGAUGGCGAAGGC
rnacentral:rRNA from 1 species